rnacentral:rRNA from 1 species
GUGAGGAAUUUUGCGCAAUGGGGGCAACCCUGACGCAGCGACGCCGCGUGGAGGACGAAGUCUUUCGGGAUGUAAACUCCUGUCAGUGGGGACGAUAAUGACGGUACCCACAGAGGAAGCACCGGCUAACUCCGUGCCAGCAGCCGCGGUAAGACGGAGGGUGCAAGCGUUGUUAGGAAUUACUGGGCGUAAAGCGUAUGUAGGCGGCAAGUUAAGUUCAAUGUUAAAGCCCACGGCUCAACCGAGGAGAUGCAUUGAAUACUGGCUAGCUAGAGGGUGUUAGAGGAAGACGGAAUUCCCAGUGUAGCGGUGAAAUGCGUAGAUAUUGGGAGGAACAUCGGUAGCGAAAGCGGUCUUCUGGGACAUACCUGACGCUGAGGUACGAAAGCGUGGGGAGCAAACGGGAUUAGAAACCCGUGUAGUCC